CAGCAGCCACGGGAAUACGAAGGGUGCAAGCGUUAAUCGGAAUUACUGGGCGUAAAGCGUGCGUAGGCGGUUUGUUAAGUCUGUUGUGAAAUCCCCGGGCUCAACCUGGGAAUGGCAAUGGAUACUGGCAAGCUAGAGUGUGUCAGAGGAUGGUGGAAUUCCCGGUGUAACGGUGAAAUGCGUAGAGAUCGGGAGGAACAUCAGUGGCGAAGGCGGCCAUCUGGGACAACACUGACGCUGAGGCACGAAAGCGUGGGGAGCAAACAGGAUUAGAUACCCCAGUAGUCCCUGUCUCUUAUAA
rnacentral:rRNA from 1 species